rnacentral:rRNA from 1 species
GGGGGGGGCAAGCGUUGUUCGGAAUUACUGGGCGUAAAGGGCUCGUAGGCGGCCAACUAAGUCAGACGUGAAAUCCCUCGGCUUAACCGGGGAACUGCGUCUGAUACUGGAUGGCUUGAGUUCGGGAGAGGGAUGCGGAAUUCCAGGUGUAGCGGUGAAAUGCGUAGAUAUCUGGAGGAACACCGGUGGCGAAGGCGGCAUCCUGGACCGACACUGACGCUGAGGAGCGAAAGCCAGGGGAGCAAACGGGAUUAGAUACCCCGGUAGUCCUGGCCCUAAACGAUGAAUGCUUGGUGUGGCGGGUAUCGAUCCCUGCCGUGCCGAAGCUAACGCAUUAAGCAUUCCGCCUGGGGAGUACGGUCGCAAGGCUG